AUUGAACGCUGGCGGCAGGCCUAACACAUGCAAGUCGAGCGGUAGCACAGAGAGCUUGCUCUCGGGUGACGAGCGGCGGACGGGUGAGUAAUGUCUGGGAAACUGCCUGAUGGAGGGGGAUAACUACUGGAAACGGUAGCUAAUACCGCAUAAUGUCGCAAGACCAAAGAGGGGGACCUUCGGGCCUCUUGCUAUCAGAUGUGCCAAGAUGGGAUUAGCUAGUAGGUGGGGUAACGGCUCACCUAGGCGACGAUCCCUAGCUGGUCUGAGAGGAUGACCAGCCACACUGGAACUGAGACACGGUCCAGACUCCUACGGGAGGCAGCAGUGGGGAAUAUUGCACAAUGGGCGCAAGCCUGAUGCAGCCAUGCCGCGUGUAUGAAGAAGGCCUUCGGGUUGUAAAGUACUUUCAGCGGGGAGGAAGGUGUUGUGGUUAAUAACCGCAGCAAUUGACGUUACCCGCAGAAGAAGCACCGGCUAACUCCGUGCCAGCCGCCGCAGUAAUAC
rnacentral:rRNA from 1 species